rnacentral:rRNA from 1 species
AGAGCGUAAUGCAUGGCAGCUGAGUAGCAGUCGCAGUCGGGGUGACUGGAACUGCAUCUGGACUGCAUCGCUGAAUGCGCAGAGAGGAUGAGUACUCUGUAGCAGUGAAAUGAGUAGAUAUGCGGAGGAACCACGAUGGCGAAGCAAUCCUCUGGCCUGCACUGACGUCAUGCACGAAAGCGUGGGAGCAAACAGCAUUAGAUACCCUGUAGUCCACGCCCCUAAAACGAUGUCAACAGCUGUUGGGAGAUUGCUUUUUUCAGUAACGAAGCUAACGCGUGAAGUUGACCGCCCUGGGGGAGUACGGCCGCAAGGUUGAAACUCAAAAGGAAUUGACGGGGACCCGCACAAGCGGUGGAUGAUGUGGUUUAAUUUGAUGCAACGCGAAAAAACCUUACCCCACCUUUGACAUGUACGGAACUCGCCAGAGAUGGCUUGGUGCUCGAAAGAGAGCCGUAACACAGGUGCUGCAUGGCUGUCGUCAGCUCGUGUCGUGAGAUGUUGGGUUAAGUCCCGCAACGAGCGCAACCCUUGUCAUUAGUUGCUACAUUCAGUUGGGCACUCUAAUGAGACUGCCGGUGACAAACCGGAGGAAGGUGGGGAUGACGUCAAGUCCUCAUGGCCCUUAUAGGUGGGGGUACACACGUCAUACAAUGGCUGGUACAAAGGGUUGCCAACCCGCGAGGGGGAGGUAAUCCCAUAAAGCCAGUCGUAGUCCGGAUCGCAGUCUGCAACUCGACUGCGUGAAGUCGGAAUCGCUAGUAAUCGUGGAUCAGAAUGUCACGGUGAAUACGUUCCCGGGUCUUGUACACACCGCCCGUCACACCAUGGGAGCGGGUUCUGCCAGAAGUAGUUAGCCUAACCGUAAGGAGGGCGAUUACCACGGCAGGGUUCGUGACUGGGGUGAAGUCGUAACAAGGUAACC